GUGAAAUUCCGUCGGAAUCUGGGAGGACCAUCUCCUAAGGCUAAAUACUCUCUAGUGACCGAUAGUGAACCAGUACCGUGAGGGAAAGGUGAAAAGCACCCCGGAAGGGGAGUGAAAUAGAACCUGAAACCGUGUGCUUACAAGUAGUCAGAGCCCGUUAAUGGGUGAUGGCGUGCCUUUUGUAGAAUGAACCGGCGAGUUACGAUUUGAUGCAAGGUUAAGCAGUAAAUGUGGAGCCGUAGCGAAAGCGAGUCUGAAUAGGGCGUUUAGUAUUUGGUCGUAGACCCGAAACCAGGUGAUCUACCCUUGGUCAGGUUGAAGUUCAGGUAACACUGAAUGGAGGACCGAACCGACUUACGUUGAAAAGUGAGCGGAUGAACUGAGGGUAGCGGAGAAAUUCCAAUCGAACCUGGAGAUAGCUGGUUCUCUCCGAAAUAGCUUUAGGGCUAGCCUCAAGUGAUGAUUAUUGGAGGUAGAGC
rnacentral:rRNA from 1 species